ACCAUUGUGGAAGCAUUAGGGAGGCUGACAGUGACAGCUGAUGGCAGCAGUAAGACAGAAGUCUGUGUGUCAGUGGUGGCGCUCAGAGCUGAAUGAAUUCCCUUCAGAGACCAAAAAACCCAUGUCUCAACUUGUGCAGCGUUUUGUAGAGCUGUCAGGCAGAGCUGGGUUCCUCUGCUGCCACCUGAGCAGGAAUGAGAGCAGUAAUGCUCUGUGUAAGCGCCCUGCAGUUUAAACAUCAGUUUCUGUUUUGGCUGUAGAACAGUGUCUUUUGGUUUUGGGGGGUGGAUGUGGGCUAAGAGGACAGCGCUGCUCCUGGGAAACCAACAUUCAAUCUGUUGUUGUAGGGAUGGAGCCUGCGCGUCCAUGGAAUGGUGCUGGGCAUGGGGGGAAACGGAAAGCCUCCCCAGGUAAGAAGCUCUUGUGAGCUGUGGUGUGGGUACCUGCCUCUAAACAGGGCUGCGUGAAGGGGCGUGUGAUGGAGGAGAGGGGAAAGGGCACUGCAGAUCUCUGCUGACUGCAGAAAUGGCGGACCAUUGUAGCAGCAGAAGGGCAAAUUGAAAAAACUACGCUUGAGGAGCAGAAGUUUGUGGUUGGCUGUGCUAAAAUGUUCCUCCAAAGAGAUGCUCUUCAUGUCUGUCUUGUUUCCUUUCUGUCAGGAGCUGAUGACAACAGGCUUGCAGGGAGGCAGGGGAGGAGCAAGGAGAAUGGCACAGCACCCAAGAGAGGUACGACACGCAGCAGGCAUCUGGGUUUGGUGCCCUGUCUUUCUAGUUAGGCUUUCUGUCUGCCCUUUCCUGGGCCUGUUGUCAUUGCAUGUUGCUUGAGGUCUUAAUCCCUGGGGAUUACAAUUACCUUUCCUGUCCCAGUUGACAAUGCAAGCCCACAGUUCACCCAAGAUCCUAAGGUGCAUUGCUGUGAACACUGGAGAUGAGAUUUCCUAGUAUCGUGGCCUAUUUUGCAGACUGAAUGUAGUGCUGGAGUCCUUAAAUGUUGCUGCUUCCCCUUUCUUGUUUCUAACAGGGAGAGGUGCUGAGCCAAAUGGCGAAAUCUCCAUGAAAACUCCUCUCCAGGCUGGAGGGCAUCCUGAAGCAGCAGGUCCCAGCAGAGGGGGAACAGCUGCUCCUGCAGUUGCCAACUGCUCCCUCUCCAAGAUCAUGGUGGCAAGAAAGCGCAAGGCAGUGGAAGAGGAGGAGCAGAAGGCAGAGCUGGGUCCUGCCAACAAACAAGUGAAAGUGGAGCACAAUGGGGAGAAGGCUCAGAGCCCUCAUCAGAGCAGAGGUGCUGUGCCAGCUCCAUCAGCACAGCCUGGGCCUGCCCCAGUGCCGACCGAGCGGUUCCGGACCUCAAAGCGAAGAGGUAAGAAGGUGCUGCAGCUGCCCUGGUGAGGUGCUUCCCUUGUCAAGCACGUGGAGUUUGCUUGGGGUUUGCUUUGCUUUUUCUUCCCUUCUGCAGGGAGGGGAAAAGAGUAGAAGGCUACCAAGUCCAAAGGAUGUGCCAGAAUGUGUAAUCCUAUCUUUUCCCAUGAAAUCCAUGCUGGCCUUCUGCUCGUCCCACUGCAAAUACCCGUUCCUGAGAGAUUUCCCAGUCUGUUUUCGUGGUACCCGUGUUUCCGUGGUUUUGCUAUUGACAAACUGAAUUUCUCUUCUCUUGCUCUAUAGAAAGACGACGACGACAGAAAGAAAGGAGAGCAGAAAUGAAGAAGGCUGCUCUCAGAGCUGCUGCUGCACAUGCAGAGGUGAGUCCUUGGCGAGCACAGACACGGCUCUUGUUCUCUGUCUGUCAGAUGUGAAGGGGGUUGUGGAAUACUGGGGGAAGCGGUGUCCUGCUUUGACACUUGCCUUGUUUCUUUCCAGUUCUCCACCAUAAACAGCCUUGUGGAGAUGAUGGAGAAGCUGCAGCUGAAGGACUGAGCGGAGGAGCAUCAGCAGGCAGCGGCUUUGUGGCAGCAGCCCAACUUUCACUCUGGUUUCAAUCCAUCAAUAAACAAUUGGAGUUUUGCAUUCACAAGGAGCGCAUGGCCUGAUUUGUCCAGCAGCACCCAGUGAGCCACUGCUCCACCUCCUCGUUAUCCCACCACCUCCUGGUUAUCCCACCACCUCCUCGUUAUUCCACUGGCGGCGCUGGGUCAGAACUCCCACAGCUCCAUCAGGGAAUGCUGCAGGGUACAGAAGCAAUGGACGCACCAAUCCUGGGCCCUGCCCACACUGUCUGAGCAGUUAGAGAGCAGCUCCAUAGAGCCGUCUGACUUUCUCGGGGCAGCACUGAGCAAAGUGAGCGUGUGCCCCUCAGCCUGCAGGCGUCUCUGCUGGGGGAAGAGAGGCUCCGCUGGCUGCCUGAUCCCGGAAGGCAGAGGUGUUCUCCUGACUUCUCUGCAGUGCUGCCUUCCUUCAUCGUCCCCCCUUCCUUCAGAUAUUUUGAUGCUGCUUUUCACCCUUUUGGGCAGAGCUUGAGUGACUCUCAUCAUUGCAUAGCUUUGUAUUGAGCGGUGUGGAAUUUUCUGGCUUUGUUUGUAAAAGCCUAGGCUGAAAACCGCAGCGUGCGUGCUAAAUGGGAGUCCUAGCACUCUGGAAGUGGAUAACUUUUGGGAUGGAGCUGCUUUUGGUUUUCUAAUGAGUGUAUAAUGAGCAAAGUUUGCCAACAGGAUCGUGUUUUCUCAACGAAUGACUAGGAGCGAUAUGCAGAGGAAGAUGGCAGUUGGCAGAUGGUGCCUGGCAAGAGCUGUUGUUUGUGUCCUGCAGCCGGGAAUGCUCCACGCCGAGGGGUGCGGGCUGUGAGAGGAACAUGUCUGUGGAAGCAUGGCCGUUCCUCCCGUCUGAUGGGGCAGAAGGCAGGGACAGGAGAGGAAAGCUGAACAGAUCUGCAUUUUCGUCACGGCUCUUACUGUGUGGGAAAUGAGCUGUGCCACUGUGCUUCUUUGUGCUGGCUAGUUCUGGAGCUGUGCCUUCAACUUGAUGCUCAGCUGUUCCUGUGUGCAAUGCUCCACACUCGGACCCUGCAGAGCCCAGAGGCCUCCUUGGCUGCUGUCACUCACCUGGAGCUUGCAGGGUGCUGUGCGUGCUGUAUGGAGCUGCUUCCAGCUGUCAUUUGCAAGACCCUGCUUUGAUCUCCAACCAAGCCUGUUGUGCUGUGGAGAGCAGUGGAAGCUGUUGAGUUGCAUGACCAAGGGGUGCAGCCUGGUUCCCCCCUCCCUAAGGGGGAGGCUCAUUGAAGGGCUGGCUGCCUGCAGGGAAGGAGCUCUGCUUUUUUGUGUGCCCUGUUCCUCAGAAUGGGUUGCCACGCCUCUGGCCUUGGCCCCCACAGAAGCCCCUCCUGGUUGUCAGUGGCAGCUGUUACCUGUGCAGUGCCAGCAGUCUGUAGAAAUGGCAGCACUUGGGAGGAUGACACAGUUUGCCUGAUGUUAUGCUUUAUGGAUGCGGUCAGGUGAGAAAGCGCUGUGCUUCGUGGCACAAAUUCCUUGGCCAAAGGACGCUUUGGAGCAGAGGUUUGCUGUCAGGAGGCCUGAAAGCAUCGAAGGAAAUGCUGCUGUGCACUGGGCCCAGAGACAUCAGCUCCCAGCACGUCAGUGAGUGCGGACGCCUGCAGCCUCUGUGUCUGUCGGGGAUUGCUCCAAGGGCUCUGUAGGCAGCUGUCCGUGGCUGUUUUGCUUUGUUAGGGCAUGGGCACAGAUGACAACACACUGAUGGUGUCCUGCUCGGAAAUGGAUGCGCUGGAUGGCAGAGGAGGAUUCUGAGCCAAGUAUGGGAUCAUCUUUGUUCCUUCGUGAAGGUGAGUUUUGAAAAGUGAAACACUUGAAGCUGGAUUUGCAGGGUGCCUGGAAGGAGGUGACUCUCGCUUGGUAUCAGUUGGGUAUUUCAGAGCAGCUGAGAUUAAGGGGACGUCACAAAUAACGUUCUGAGAAUGUUCCUGACCGUUCUUAGUUGUUAAAUUGUCUAAAAGAAUGCAAGCAAUGCAAAAAAACAAAAGCCGAACAACCACGGCAUGUCCUGCAAAGAAUCCAGCUUUAAUAGAGACUGACAGUUACUAAGGUUCCUUUUUCUUCUUCUGUCAGUGACUGAA